GUAGUAGCUCAGUGGUAGAGCUCCAGCUUUGUACGCUGGAAGACCCGGGUUCGAUUCCCGGCUAC
rnacentral:tRNA from 1 species